AUUUUGAUAGCUUAUAUUGAGCAUAACAUUGAAGCUGUUAAGGUGGCUUUUGCCUCAGAGUG
rnacentral:tRNA from 1 species